rnacentral:rRNA from 1 species
UACGUAGGUGACAAGCGUUGUCCGGAUUUACUGGGCGUAAAGAGCGCGCAGGCGGUCGUUCAAGUCGAGUGUGAAAGCCCCCGGCUCAACUGGGGAGGGUCAUUCGAUACUGAUCGACUCGAAGGCAGGAGAGGGUAGUGGAAUUCCCGGUGUAGUGGUGAAAUGCGUAGAUAUCGGGAGGAACACCAGUGGCGAAGGCGGAUCUCUGGACAGCUCCUGACGCUGAGGCGCGAAGGCUAGGGGAGCAAACGGG